rnacentral:rRNA from 1 species
UAUACAUGCAAGUAGAACGCUGAAGAGAGGAGCUUGCUCUUCUUGGAUGAGUUGCGAACGGGUGAGUAACGCGUAGGUAACCUGCCUUGUAGCGGGGGAUAACUAUUGGAAACGAUAGCUAAUACCGCAUAACAAUGGAUGACACAUGUCAUUUAUUUGAAAGGGGCAAUUGCUCCACUACAAGAUGGACCUGCGUUGUAUUAGCUAGUAGGUGAGGUAAUGGCUCACCUAGGCGACGAUACAUAGCCGACCUGAGAGGGUGAUCGGCCACACUGGGACUGAGACACGGCCCAGACUCCUACGGGAGGCAGCAGUAGGGAAUCUUCGGCAAUGGGGGCAACCCUGACCGAGCAACGCCGCGUGAGUGAAGAAGGUUUUCGGAUCGUAAAGCUCUGUUGUAAGUCAAGAACGGGUGUGAGAGUGGAAAGUUCACACUGUGACGGUAGCUUACCAGAAAGGGACGGCUAACUACGUGCCAGCAGCCGCGGUAAUACGUAGGUCCCGAGCGUUGUCCGGAUUUAUUGGGCGUAAAGCGAGCGCAGGCGGUUUGAUAAGUCUGAAGUUAAAGGCUGUGGCUCAACCAUAGUUCGCUUUGGAAACUGUCAAACUUGAGUGCAGAAGGGGAGAGUGGAAUUCCAUGUGUAGCGGUGAAAUGCGUAGAUAUAUGGAGGAACACCGGUGGCGAAAGCGGCUCUCUGGUCUGUAACUGACGCUGAGGCUCGAAAGCGUGGGGAGCGAACAGGAUUAGAUACCCUGGUAGUCCACGCCGUAAACGAUGAGUGCUAGGUGUUGGAUCCUUUCCGGGAUUCAGUGCCGCAGCUAACGCAUUAAGCACUCCGCCUGGGGAGUACGACCGCAAGGUUGAAACUCAAAGGAAUUGACGGGGGCCCGCACAAGCGGUGGAGCAUGUGGUUUAAUUCGAAGCAACGCGAAGAACCUUACCAGGUCUUGACAUCCCGAUGCUAUUUCUAGAGAUAGAAAGUUACUUCGGUACAUCGGUGACAGGUGGUGCAUGGUUGUCGUCAGCUCGUGUCGUGAGAUGUUGGGUUAAGUCCCGCAACGAGCGCAACCCCUAUUGUUAGUUGCCAUCAUUCAGUUGGGCACUCUAGCGAGACUGCCGGUAAUAAACCGGAGGAAGGUGGGGAUGACGUCAAAUCAUCAUGCCCCUUAUGACCUGGGCUACACACGUGCUACAAUGGUUGGUACAACGAGUUGCGAGUCGGUGACGGCGAGCUAAUCUCUUAAAGCCAAUCUCAGUUCGGAUUGUAGGCUGCAACUCGCCUACAUGAAGUCGGAAUCGCUAGUAAUCGCGGAUCAGCACGCCGCGGUGAAUACGUUCCCGGGCCUUGUACACACCGCCCGUCACACCACGAGAGUUUGUAACACCC